rnacentral:lncRNA from 1 species
CAAAAUUGAACAGGCUUCUAAAGCAGCUGCAACAGCCUACAUCAACUGCAACUCAGAAAAGGGAACAGCAUCAAAUGUGGUCCAGGGAUCACAUGGAACAGCUGAUGAAGAACAUGCCCAAGUCGCUAGCAGCACAACUGCCGACAAGCAGGACACAUAAACCAAAGCUAAAGCUAGUCUUCUAUGCAUCCAAAGAUUGAGCAAGAAAAAGAAAAAAAAAAUGCAGAAAACUUAUUCAACAAGUGUUUUGAUUUACUUCAUAUCUCUGAC